AUUCAGCUGACGAGUUCCAAAUAGAAUGAAACGCGCGUUCUGGAU
rnacentral:hammerhead_ribozyme from 1 species